rnacentral:misc_RNA from 1 species
AAGCCGGAAGCAGGAGCAGGAUCAGCGGCGGCAUCAGUGACGGGGGGGGCAAGGAAUAGAAAUACAUCAACGAAGAGAAAAAGGAUAGAGGAUAGACAAUGCAGAGAUGGACACACGAGCCCCGCCCUCCCCCUCCACACACACACACACACACGCACUGCGCUCCCCCUUUCCCCUUCGCCGUCUCUCGCUAUCUCGUUCUUCUUUCUGUUCCCCAUUCCUGAGACUUGUACUACUCUUAUUCGUACCACACUGAAAGAAACAUCCACGCCAACAACCUCAGCAGCAGCAGCAGCAAAGGAAGAUGCAAUACAGGCGUUUCACUUCACGUAUUCGAGGGCCUCGUGUAGUUCUGUGCGAGGGGAAGCUUGCUAUCUGUUGGGAUAAGUGCGAAGUGGGAACGUGCGGUAUGGCGCGUCUCUGCGUGUGCGAGCGAGCGAGUUUUGACGUCUUCGCAUGCACACACACCAGCCCUCGUGUCGAGUGUUGCCCUCUCUCUCUUGCUGCGAUCUGCCACCGCCAUAAUUCAGCUGCGCACGACAGGAUUACUCUGGGUGCUGCGCUUGCGUACGCAAACCCCUCUCACCUACUCAAGUGCUUGCGCUUACUUGCCGCUGUUGCUCUCUUGUUUCGCCUCCCUCCCUCGCGCUCACACACGGCACCCCCUCCUCCUCCCGUUGCCGGUUUCGCUGUCCCUGUGCGUACACACGCGCGCGCAG